CUCAGGUGGACGCCGAACCCUGUCACCUCCCGAGGCCACGAACUACACCCAUGACAGGGGUGGGGGACCCAUUCUUGUGGGCACCGGAGACGGUGUCCUUGGGGUGAAGCCGCACGGACCUCGGUCCGCACGGCCGGGUGAGCUUCUCCGACCCGAACCCGACAGCUGACCUCUCAGGCGUCCAGGAGAACACUC
rnacentral:sRNA from 2 species